UACGGAGGGUGCAAGCGUUAAUCGGAAUUACUGGGCGUAAAGCGUGCGCAGGCGGUUUGUUAAGUCCGCUGUGAAAUCCCCGAGCUCAACUUGGGAAUUGCAGUGGAUACUGGCAGGCUGGAGUAUGGUAGAGGAAGGUGGAAUUCCCGGUGUAGCAGUGAAAUGCGUAGAGAUCGGGAGGAACACCAGUGGCGAAGGCGGCCUUCUGGACCAAUACUGACGCUCAUGCACGAAAGCGUGGGGGAGCAAACAGG
rnacentral:rRNA from 1 species